CGCGUAGGUGGUCUGUUAAGUCAGCUGUGAAAGCCCUGGGCUUAACCUGGGAACUGCAGUUGAUACUGGCAGGCUAGAGUACGAGAGAGGGAGGUAGAAUUCCAUGUGUAGCGGUGAAAUGCGUAGAUAUAUGGAGGAAUACCAGUGGCGAAGGCGGCCUCCUGGCUCGAUACUGACACUGAGGUGCGAAAGCGUGGGUAGCAAACAGGAUUAGAUACCCUGGUAGUCC
rnacentral:rRNA from 1 species